GAUGAACGCUGGCGGCGUGCCUAAUACAUGCAAGUCGAGCGAACAGACGAGGAGCUUGCUCCUCUGACGUUAGCGGCGGACGGGUGAGUAACACGUGGAUAACCUACCUAUAAGACUGGGAUAACUUCGGGAAACCGGCGCUAAUACCGGAUAAUCUAUUGAACCGCAUGGUUCAAUAGUGAAAGACGGUUUUGCUGUCACUUAUAGAUGGAUCCGCGCCGCAUUAGCUAGUUGGUAAGGUAACGGCUUACCAAGGCAACGAUGCGUAGCCGACCUGAGAGGGUGAUCGGCCACACUGGAACUGAGACACGGUCCAGACUCCUACGGGAGGCAGCAGUAGGGAAUCUUCCGCAAUGGGCGAAAGCUUGACGGAGCAACGCCGCGUGAGUGAUGAAGGUCUUCGGAGCGUAAAACUCUGUUAUUAGGGAAGAACAAAUGUGUAAGUAACUAUGCACGUCUUGACGGUACCUAAUCAGAAAGCCACGGCUAACUACGUG
rnacentral:rRNA from 1 species